CUGUUUUCCGACAAUUCCACGCCGCAUCACGUCAUCCUUAUCCAUCCAUCCAUCCAUCUAUCCAAUAAUAUCAUCAAUCAUCUCCACUCCCCAUUUCUUUAUAUACCCACUCUCCAUACCUAACACAUAACCACCUAGAGGCCUCAAAUUGGGGGCUGAUUGCCGCCGGAAUCCGUCGGGAUUGGUGGGCUGGAAAUCACAUCCGCCGCCGCCUCCGCCGCCGAUUUCCAACUCCACCCAUUCCUACGGCCUCCGGGAUUUCCCCCCUCUUUUCGUCUCCUCAAAAUCUUCCAUUCAUUUCUCCGGCAAUCUUAUCCGAUCUGCCGCCGCCGGAGCCGCCACGACCUCUUAACAGUCAGGAUAAUGCUCAUCGUCGCAGCCAUCAACGGCGGCGCUGCCGCGGCGUUCGGGAGAUACGGGUAGCUAUCUGGCGGCGGCAUCACGCAAUUAUCGCCAUUGAAGUAAAUCCUUCUCGGAAAGGCCCAACCUUUGUCGAAUGUGAAGCCUUUGUUCUUCCCGAACAACAGCUCCGAUUGAACGUUGCCAGCCGGGCCGGAUUGCAUCAGCAAGUCGUUGUAAUACUUGACGCCCCAUAGCAUCGCUGUGUCAUCUGCAAACGGAUAAAUUGUUAGAUCAAUAACUCGGCGCGCGCAAUUUGCAUACAUUCGAAUUUGUACGAAUUGGUCGCUUACUUAUGACGCCGUAUUCUGAGAUCGAUCCGUAGUUGAAGCUGAAGAUCUGCGUAAGGUUGUCGAAGUUAGGAUGCUGCACGACGAGGCUCCAUUGCGAAUAGUUUUUCGCAAAGUUGAAAUUCGUGAUGGCGAUCUUCACGCGCCAAUAUUGCUUGUAGUUCAAUUUGACGUGCCAAUGGACUCGCACCGGGCACAUGUGGCGGGUGCAACGGAGAAUAGGCGUUGGAUUGUUCGGAUCGUUUGGAACAACCGAAGCUAUGCGAGGAGAGUCGGAGCUGAAACAAAAGAAAACAACAUCGAAAGAUCGAUCCAAAUAAUUUGAUCGAUCUCGAACAUUAAACCUCCCGCUCUGAUAUCAUAUUAAACGAUCAUUUCAUCUAAAAGUUCUUGAAGACUGAA